CUGAUUUAAGCUCUGCUCUUCCUGAAAAGCACUGUGCCUUCUUAUGUCAUGCAAGUUACACGCUUUCAGUAUUCCCAAAUCAAAAGACAAUGCAGAUCACUAGAAGUUUACCCUGACUGUCAUUAACACUGAAUAAGGUUGAGAGUACUGACAUCCCAGGAUCUAGGGACCACGAUAAACUACAAGCCCCUGCUGACAGACAACUUUAACAAAGUGACUGAGUGAGUGUCAACAUGAAUCGCUCCUGACAACAUUCAUAUUGUCAGCUCUGCUACAUUCCACCUGAGCUACCCAGUGAGACCGCCAGCAACCACUGGAGUAGAACAGAUAAACUACUUCCUGCCUUCUGGGAGAUGGAACCGCCAGACAACAGAAGGAUACAAAUCUAGA